rnacentral:rRNA from 1 species
AGUGAACGCUGGCGGCAGGCCUAAUACAUGCAAGUCGAACGGCAGCACAGCAGAGCUUGCUCUGUGGGUGGCGAGUGGCGGACGGGUGAGGAAUACAUGGGAAUCUGCCCAGUCGUGGGGGAUAACGUAGGGAAACUUACGCUAAUACCGCAUGCGCCCUUCGGGGGAAAGCCGGGGACCUUCGGGCCUGGCGCGAUUGGAUGAGCCCAUGUCGGAUUAGCUAGUUGGCGGGGUAAAGGCCCACCAAGGCGACGAUCCGUAGCUGGUCUGAGAGGAUGAUCAGCCACACUGGAACUGAGACACGGUCCAGACUCCUACGGGAGGCAGCAGUAGGGAAUAUUGGACAAUGGGCGCAAGCCUGAUCCAGCCAUGCCGCGUGAGUGAAGAAGGCCCUCGGGUUGUAAAGCUCUUUUGUCCGGAAAGAAAAGCACCGGGUUAAUACCCUGGUGUCCUGACGGUACCGGAAGAAUAAGCACCGGCUAACUUCGUGCCAGCAGCCGCGGUAACAC